rnacentral:rRNA from 1 species
GGGUUGUGAGGUUAAGCGACUAAGCGUACACGGUGGAUGCCCUGGCAGUCAGAGGCGAUGAAGGACGUGCUAAUCUGCGAUAAGCGCCGGUAAGGUGAUAUGAACCGUUAUAACCGGCGAUUUCCGAAUGGGGAAACCCAGUGUGACUCGUCACACUAUCAUUAACUGAAUCCAUAGGUUAAUGAGGCGAACCGGGGGAACUGAAACAUCUAAGUACCCCGAGGAAAAGAAAUCAACCGAGAUUCCCCCAGUAGCGGCGAGCGAACGGGGAGGAGCCCAGAGCCUGAAUCAGCAUGUGUGUUAGUGGAAGCGUCUGGAAAGGCGCGCGAUACAGGGUGACAGCCCCGUACACAAAAGCGCAUGUGCUGUGAGCUCGAUGAGUAGGGCGGGACACGUGGUAUCCUGUCUGAAUAUGGGGGGACCAUCCUCCAAGGCUAAAUACUCCUGACUGACCGAUAGUGAACCAGUACCGUGAGGGAAAGGCGAAAAGAACCCCGGCGAGGGGAGUGAAAAAGAACCUGAAACCGUGUACGUACAAGCAGUGGGAGCACAGGUUUACCUGUGUGACUGCGUACCUUUUGUAUAAUGGGUCAGCGACUUAUAUUCUGUAGCAAGGUUAACCGCAUAGGGGAGCCGCAGGGAAACCGAGUCUUAACCGGGCGUUAAGUUGCAGGGUAUAGACCCGAAACCCGGUGAUCUAGCCAUGGGCAGGUUGAAGGUUGGGUAACACUAACUGGAGGACCGAACCGACUAAUGUUGAAAAAUUAGCGGAUGACCUGUGGCUGGGGGUGAAAGGCCAAUCAAACCGGGAGAUAGCUGGUUCUCCCCGAAAGCUAUUUAGGUAGCGCCUCGUGAAUUCAUCUCCGGGGGUAGAGCACUGUUUCGGCUAGGGGGCCAUCCCGGCUUACCAACCCGAUGCAAACUGCGAAUACCGGAGAAUGUUAUCACGGGAGACACACGGCGGGUGCUAACGUCCGUCGUGAAGAGGGAAACAACCCAGACCGCCAGCUAAGGUCCCAAAGUCAUGGUUAAGUGGGAAACGAUGUGGGAAGGCCCAGACAGCCAGGAUGUUGGCUUAGAAGCAGCCAUCAUUUAAAGAAAGCGUAAUAGCUCACUGGUCGAGUCGGCCUGCGCGGAAGAUGUAACGGGGCUAAACCAUGCACCGAAGCUGCGGCAGCGAACGUAUCACCCAAGACAACUUUGCGGAGUUGACGAUUGACGGAGCGAAGCGACGUCAAAGCGUUCAUUAAAGUCGAGUUGGCUUAGGGAUACGUUCGUUGGGUAGGGGAGCGUUCUGUAAGCCUGUGAAGGUGUGCUGUGAGGCAUGCUGGAGGUAUCAGAAGUGCGAAUGCUGACAUAAGUAACGAUAAAGCGGGUGAAAAGCCCGCUCGCCGGAAGACCAAGGGUUCCUGUCCAACGUUAAUCGGGGCAGGGUGAGUCGACCCCUAAGGCGAGGCCGAAAGGCGUAGUCGAUGGGAAACGGGUUAAUAUUCCCGUACUUGGUGUUACUGCGAAGGGGGGACGGAGAAGGCUAUGUUGGCCGGGCGACGGUUGUCCCGGUUUAAGCGUGUAGGUGUGUGUUCCAGGUAAAUCCGGUUCACUUUAACACUGAGGCGUGACGACGAGGCACUACGGUGCUGAAGCAACAAAUGCCCUGCUUCCAGGAAAAGCCUCUAAGCAUCAGGUAACAUCAAAUCGUACCCCAAACCGACACAGGUGGUCAGGUAGAGAAUACCAAGGCGCUUGAGAGAACUCGGGUGAAGGAACUAGGCAAAAUGGUGCCGUAACUUCGGGAGAAGGCACGCUGACAUGUAGGUGAAGUGAUUUACUCAUGGAGCUGAAGUCAGUCGAAGAUACCAGCUGGCUGCAACUGUUUAUUAAAAACACAGCACUGUGCAAACACGAAAGUGGACGUAUACGGUGUGACGCCUGCCCGGUGCCGGAAGGUUAAUUGAUGGGGUCAGCGCAAGCGAAGCUCCUGAUCGAAGCCCCGGUAAACGGCGGCCGUAACUAUAACGGUCCUAAGGUAGCGAAAUUCCUUGUCGGGUAAGUUCCGACCUGCACGAAUGGCGUAAUGAUGGCCAGGCUGUCUCCACCCGAGACUCAGUGAAAUUGAACUCGCUGUGAAGAUGCAGUGUACCCGCGGCAAGACGGAAAGACCCCGUGAACCUUUACUAUAGCUUGACACUGAACAUUGAGCCUUGAUGUGUAGGAUAGGUGGGAGGCUUUGAAGCGUGGACGCCAGUCUGCGUGGAGCCGACCUUGAAAUACCACCCUUUAAUGUUUGAUGUUCUAACGUGGACCCGUGAUCCGGGUUGCGGACAGUGUCUGGUGGGUAGUUUGACUGGGGCGGUCUCCUCCUAAAGAGUAACGGAGGAGCACGAAGGUUGGCUAAUCCUGGUCGGACAUCAGGAGGUUAGUGCAAUGGCAUAAGCCAGCUUGACUGCGAGCGUGACGGCGCGAGCAGGUGCGAAAGCAGGUCAUAGUGAUCCGGUGGUUCUGAAUGGAAGGGCCAUCGCUCAACGGAUAAAAGGUACUCCGGGGAUAACAGGCUGAUACCGCCCAAGAGUUCAUAUCGACGGCGGUGUUUGGCACCUCGAUGUCGGCUCAUCACAUCCUGGGGCUGAAGUAGGUCCCAAGGGUAUGGCUGUUCGCCAUUUAAAGUGGUACGCGAGCUGGGUUUAGAACGUCGUGAGACAGUUCGGUCCCUAUCUGCCGUGGGCGCUGGAGAACUGAGGGGGGCUGCUCCUAGUACGAGAGGACCGGAGUGGACGCAUCACUGGUGUUCGGGUUGUCAUGCCAAUGGCACUGCCCGGUAGCUAAAUGCGGAAGAGAUAAGUGCUGAAAGCAUCUAAGCACGAAACUUGCCCCGAGAUGAGUUCUCCCUGAGACUUAAAGUCUCCUGAAGGAACGUUGAAGACGACGACGUUGAUAGGCCGGGUGUGUAAGCGCAGCGAUGCGUUGAGCUAACCGGUACUAAUGAACCGUGAGGCUUAACCUUACAACGCCGAAG